rnacentral:rRNA from 1 species
UACGUAGGGGGCAAGCGUUGUCCGGAAUCAUUGGGCGUAAAGAGCGUGUAGGCGGCCCGGUAAGUCCGCCGUGAAAGUCCAGGGCUCAACCCUGGAAUGCUGGUGGAUACUGUCGGGCUAGAGUCCGGAAGGGGCGAGUGGAAUUCCUGGUGUAGCGGUGAAAUGCGCAGAUAUCAGGAGGAACACCGAUGGCGAAGGCAGCUCGCUGGGACGGUACUGACGCUGAGACGCGAAAGCGUGGGGAGCAAACAGG